rnacentral:rRNA from 1 species
CCUACGGGCGGCAGCAGUGGGGAAUAUUGCACAAUGGGGGGAACCCUGAUGCAGCAACGCCGCGUGGGUGAAGAAGUACUUCGGUAUGUAAAGCCCUGUCAGCAGGGAAGAAAAUGACGGUACCUGACCAAGAAGCCCCGGCUAACUACGUGCCAGCAGCCGCGGUAAUACGUAGGGGGCAAGCGUUAUCCGGAUUUACUGGGUGUAAAGGGGGCGUAGACGGCAAGGCAAGUCUGGAGUGAAAGCCCGUGGAUCAACCACGGGACUGCUUUGGAAACUGUGUUGCUGGAGUGUAGGAGGGGUAAGCGGAAUUCCUAGUGUAGCGGUGAAAUGCGUAGAUAUUAGGAGGAACACCGGUGGCGAAGGCGGCUUACUGGACUGUAACUGACGUUGAGGCUCGAAGGCGUGGGGAGCAAACAGGAUUAGAUACCCGAGUAGUC